rnacentral:rRNA from 1 species
ACGGAGGGUGCAAGCGUUAUCCGGAUUCACUGGGUUUAAAGGGUGCGUAGGCGGGUUGGUAUGUCAGUGGUGAAAUCCCCGAGCUUAACUUGGGAACUGCCAUUGAUACUAUUAAUCUUGAAUACCGUGGAGGUCGACGGAAUAUGUCAUGUAGCGGUGAAAUGCUUAGAUAUGACAUAGAACACCAAUUGCGAAGGCAGCUCGCUACGCAUAUAUUGACUCUGAGGCACGAAAGCGUGGGGAUCAAACAGGA